UUGAGAGCGAGCUGAGCCGCAGG
rnacentral:misc_RNA from 1 species